rnacentral:rRNA from 1 species
AUUGAACGCUGGCGGCAGGCCUAACACAUGCAAGUCGAGCGAUCGGCGGACGGGUGAGUAAUGUAUGGGGCUCUGCCCGAUAGAGGGGGAUAACUACUGGAAACGGUGGCUAAUACCGCUUACUUUCAGUUGAACCCAUAUUGGAUUAGCGAGUGGGUGGGGUAAAGGCUCACCUAGGCGACGAUCUCUAGCUGGUCUGAGAGGAUGAUCAGCCACACUGGGACUGAGAAACGGCCCAGACUCUUACGGGAGGCAGCAGUGGGGAUUAUUGCACAAUGGGCGAAAGCCUGAUGCAGCCAUGCCGCGUGUAUGAAGAAGGCCUUAGGGUUGUAAAGUACUUUCAGCGGGGAGGCGUUACCCGCAGAAGAAGCACCGGCUAACUCCGUGCCAGCCGCCGCGGUAAUAC